UAACUCGUUAGUCUUCCAAAA
rnacentral:piRNA from 1 species